GGCCUGAUAGCUCAAAUGGUAGAGAACUGCACUGGUAUUGCAGAAAUUAGGGUUCAAAUCCCAUUCAUGCCU
rnacentral:tRNA from 1 species